rnacentral:rRNA from 1 species
AACUUUCAGCAACGGAUCUCUUGGCUCUCGCAUCGAUGAAGAACGCAGCGAAAUGCGAUAAGUAAUGUGAAUUGCAGAAUUCAGUGAAUCAUCGAAUCUUUGAACGCACCUUGCGCUCCUUGGUAUUCCGAGGAGCAUGCCUGUUUGAGUAUCAU